UACCACAUCCAAGGAAGGCAGCAGGCACGCAAAUUACCCAAUCCCAGCUCUGGGAGGUAGUGACGAAAAAUAACAAUGCGGGACUCUUCCGAGUCUGCGUAAUUGGAAUGAGCACACUUUAAAUCCUUUAGCAACUAACAAUUGGAGGGCAAGUCUGGUGCCAGCAGCCGCGGUAAUUCCAGCUCCAAUAGCGUAUAUUAAAGUUGUUGCGGUUAAAAAGCUCGUAGUUCGAGCUCAGUUCCGGACUGGCUGGGGAGGUCACCGCCCGGUGCUUCCCCGUCAGGCUCCGAACAGCUUCCGUGAGUGGAAGCCAAGCCGGUUCUGCCGGGGUGCUCUUUACCGAGUGUCCCGUGCGGCCGGCCAGUUCACCUUGAAUAAAUGAGAGUGCUCAAAGCAGGCUACUCUCGAAUACAAUGCCCGAAUGUUACCUGCAUGGAAUGAUGGAAGAUGAUCUCGGUUCCAUUUUCUUGGUGGUGGGAGCCAGAGGUAAUGAUAAAGAGGGACUGUCGGGGGCAUCCGUACUACGACGCGAGAGGUGAAAU
rnacentral:rRNA from 1 species